AAAAACUUUUCUUUUUUUUU
rnacentral:miRNA from 1 species